rnacentral:rRNA from 1 species
CCUACGGGAGGCUGCAGUGGGGAAUAUUGGACAAUGGGGGGAACCCUGAUCCAGCCAUGCCGCGUGUGUGAAGAAGGCCCUCGGGUUGUAAAGCACUUUCAGUGAGGAAGAACGCCUGGUGGUUAAUACCCAUCAGGAAAGACAUCACUCACAGAAGAAGCACCGGCUAACUCCGUGCCAGCAGCCGCGGUAAUACGGAGGGUGCGAGCGUUAAUCGGAAUUACUGGGCGUAAAGCGCGCGUAGGUGGCUUGAUAAGCCGGUUGUGAAAGCCCCGGGCUCAACCUGGGAACGGCAUCCGGAACUGUCAAGCUAGAGUGCAGGAGAGGAAGGUAGAAUUCCCGGUGUAGCGGUGAAAUGCGUAGAGAUCGGGAGGAAUACCAGUGGCGAAGGCGGCCUUCUGGGCUGACACUGACACUGAGGUGCGAAAGCGUGGGUAGCAAACAGGAUUAGAUACCCCGGUAGUC